CAGAUGAAGUCAGUCGGGACCCUG
rnacentral:piRNA from 1 species